rnacentral:sRNA from 1 species
UCAACCAUGCCGAAGACAGUAGGUGCUGCAAAGCGUAAUGAGUAAUCGCCUACCGAGGAAAGGAUAUGUAAUUUUCUGACGAAUGUUACCCUUCUGCUUUGGCAGAGGGGUUUUUAUUUUA